CUCAUUGUCUUUCGCUGCCACCAUGUAAGAAGAGUCUUUUGCCUCCCGUCAUGAUUCUGAGGGCUCCCCAACUACAUAGAACUAUAUUUCUUCAAAGAACAAAAAAAAACCAGUAUGAAGCAUAUGAAACUUCAAGCAGAACAAACUUGGUUUGUCUCCUUCCAGAGAAAAGGUACUGAAGUUCCCAUACCUGUAGAGCUGCAAAGAUCAACAUUUCUUCCUCUGUGCAAUCAAUUUCUUCUAAGAGAAUGGCCCACCUGGCUUGCUCAUAGAGUUGGUUUAUUCGGACAGCAUCAUACUAGAGACAAAAACAGAGGUGUGUGUGUAAUGAGGUAUAUUUAUAUCCCACAAUACAAAGAUUCUGAAACAACUGAGGCCAUUCUCUGUUAAUCAGAUGCAGCAAACUUCA
rnacentral:lncRNA from 1 species